GCAGCAUUGCGUGAGCAGUCCCAUCAUAGAAACCAAACAAAGUGCAGUUUUGAGUUUGAGGGAGGUUCAAGUCCAGGAGGAGUCCCUUCUUGAGGCCUGGAAGAGCAGAGGAGGGUUGAAGUUCUGGAGGAGGUGACAAGUAGAGAAAGAGGUGGAGG